rnacentral:tmRNA from 1 species
GGGGGCGAUAUGGGUUCGACGGGAAUGUUGAGCUUCAGGCCGCAUGCCGAGUAUGAGGGUGAUCUCGUUAAUCUUCCCCUUAAAAGCUUAAAUGCAAACUGUAAAAAAACAGCAGUUAACGCUAAAAAACCAGUUGCUACUAAACUAGCAGCUGCUGCUUAACUCUACUGAGCUUAGGAAGGUUCCAGUCCCGGCCUAAUCCUCAGUCGCUCUGACUGGCCAAAACACCUCGUGGCUUUACUGGGUGUGGCGGAAUUUUGUGAAGACCGCAAUGUGAAAGCUCUGGUUCUUUUGACCACACAUUGUUAAAUCGAAUAAAGAAACAAGCAUGUAGACUCCUGUUGGGAGAGUUUUCGGACGCGGGUUCAAGUCCCGCCGUCUCCACAA